GACGAACGCUGGCGGCGUGCCUAACACAUGCAAGUCGAGCGAGUGGAUCUCCUUCGGGAGAGAAGCUAGCGGCGGACGGGUGAGUAACACGUGGGCAACCUGCCUCAUAGAGGGGAAUAGCCUCCCGAAAGGGAGAUUAAUACCGCAUAAGAUUGUAGCUUCGCAUGAAGUAGCAAUUAAAGGAGCAAUCCGCUAUGAGAUGGGCCCGCGGCGCAUUAGCUAGUUGGUGUGGUAACGGCUCACCAAGGCGACGAUGCGUAGCCGACCUGAGAGGGUGAUCGGCCACAUUGGGACUGAGACACGGCCCAGAAUCCUACGGGAGGCAGCAGUGGGGAAUAUUGCACAAUGGGGGAAACCCUGAUGCAGCAACGCCGCGUGAGUGAUGACGGCCUUCGGGUUGUAAAGCUCUGUCUUCAGGGACGAUAAUGACGGUACCUGAGGAGGAAGCCACGGCUAACUACGUGCCAUCCGCCGCCGUAAAAC
rnacentral:rRNA from 1 species